rnacentral:rRNA from 1 species
AUAUGGUUAAGCUAAUAAGGGCGCACGGAGGAUGCCUAGGCGCCAGGAGCCUAAGAAGGACGCGGCGAACAGCGAAAUUGCCUCGGGGAGCCGUAAGCAGGCUUUGAUCCGGGGAUGUCCGAAUGGGGAAACCCGGCUGGGGUAAUGCCCAGUCACCCAUGAGUGAAUCCAUAGCUCAUGAGGAGGCAUACCCAGGGAACUGAAACAUCUAAGUACCUGGAGGAGAAGAAAACAAGAGUGAUUCCGUCAGUAGCGGCGAGCGAAAGCGGAUUAGCCCAAACCAGGAGGCUUGCCUCCUGGGGUUGUGGGACGUCUCACAUGGAGUUACAAAGGAGCAGGUUAGGCGAAGAGGUCUGGAAAGGCCCGGCAUAGAAGGUAAAAGCCCUGUAGCCGAAAGUCUGCUCCCUCCGAGACGGAUCCCGAGUACCGCGGGACACGAGAAACCCCGUGGGAAUCCGGCAGGACCAUCUGCCAAGGCUAAAUACUCCCUGGCGACCGAUAGUGAAGCAGUACCGUGAGGGAAAGGUGAAAAGCACCGCGGGAGCGGAGUGAAAAAGAACCUGAAACCGUGCGCUUACAAGAAGUCAGAGCCCGAUCUAGGGGUGAUGGCGUGCCUUUUGUAGAAUGAACCGGCGAGUUACGUUUACGUGCGAGGUUAAGUCGGAGAGACGGAGCCGCAGCGAAAGCGAGUCUGAAUAGGGCGCUUUAGUACGUAGGCGUAGACCCGAAACCGUGUGAUCUACCCCUGUGCAGGGUGAAGGUGAGGUAACACUUACUGGAGGCCCGAACUCACAAGCGUUGAAAAGCUUGGGGAUGACGUGGGGGUAGGGGAGAAAUUCCAAUCGAACUCGGAGAUAGCUGGUUCUCCCCGAAAUAGCUUUAGGGCUAGCCUCGAGGUGAAGCAUCGUGGAGGUAGAGCACUGAUUGGGUGCGGGGCCCGCCAAGGGUUACCAAGUCCAGUCAAACUCCGAAUGCCAUGUAUGUAUACUCGGGAGUCAGACGGCGAGUGCUAAGAUCCGUCGUCAAGAGGGAAAGAGCCCAGAUCAUCAGCUAAGGUCCCCAAGUGUGUGUUAAGUGGGAAAGGAUGUGGAGUUGCGAAGACAACCAGGAUGUUGGCUUAGAAGCAGCCACCAUUUAAAGAGUGCGUAAUAGCUCACUGGUCGAGUGACUCUGCGCCGAAAAUGUAACGGGGCUAAACACACCACCGAAGCUAUGGCAUGNNCUUGGGUAGGGGAGCGUUGAAUGCGGGUAGAAGUCUGACCGAGAGGACAGGUGGACUGCAUUCAAGUGAGAAUGCCGGUAUGAGUAACGAAAAGACAGGUGAGAAUCCUGUCCGCCGAAAGCCUAAGGGUUCCUGAGGAAGGUUCGUCCGCUCAGGGUAAGUCGGGACCUAAGGCGAGGCCGAAAGGCGUAGUCGAAGGACAACAGGUUGAAAUUCCUGUACCACCGUAAGCCGUUACGAGCAAUGGGGGGACGCAGGAGGGCAAAGACGCGAGCUGAUGGAAUAGCUCGUCCAAGCAGUGAGGGGUGCAUGUAGGCAAAUCCGCAUGCUAAUACCUUGAGCUGUGAUGGGGAGGGAAAAUUACAGUACCGAAGGUCUCGUGCUCACGCUGCCAAGAAAAGCCUCUAGCCAGGCGAAGGUGCCCGUACCGUAAACCGACACAGGUAGGCGAGAUGAGAAUUCUAAGGCGCGCGGAAGAACUCUCGUUAAGGAACUCGGCAAAAUGACCCCGUAACUUCGGGAGAAGGGGUGCCUCGGUAGGGUGAAUAGCCCGAGGGGGCCGCAGUGAAUAGGCCCAAGCGACUGUUUAGCAAAAACACAGGUCUGUGCGAAGCCGUAAGGCGAAGUAUACGGGCUGACGCCUGCCCGGUGCUGGAAGGUUAAGGGGAGCGGUUAGGGGCAACCCGAAGCUGUGAACCGAAGCCCCAGUAAACGGCGGCCGUAACUAUAACGGUCCUAAGGUAGCGAAAUUCCUUGUCAGGUAAAUUCUGACCCGCACGAAUGGCGUAACGACUUGGGCGCUGUCUCAACGAGAGAUCCGGUGAAAUUUUAGUACCUGUGAAGAUGCAGGUUACCCGCGACGUGACGGAAAGACCCCAUGGAGCUUUACUGUAGCUUGAUAUUGAACUUUGGUACGGUCUGUACAGGAUAGGUGGGAGCCUUUGAAGUUGGAGCGCAAGCUUCAAUGGAGGCGCCGUUGGGAUACCACCCUGAUCGUAUCGGAGUUCUAACCUGUCACCGUGAAUCCGGUGAAGGGACCGUGUCAGGCGGACAGUUUGACUGGGGCGGUCGCCUCCUAAAGCGUAACGGAGGCGCCCCAAGGUUCCCUCAGAAUGGUUGGAAAUCAUUCGAAGAGUGCAAAGGCAUAAGGGAGCUUGACUGCGAGACCUACAAGUCGAGCAGGGACGAAAGUCGGGCUUAGUGAUCCGGUGGUACCGAAUGGAAGGGCCAUCGCUCAACGGAUAAAAGCUACCCUGGGGAUAACAGGCUUAUCUCCCCCAAGAGUCCACAUCGACGGGGAGGUUUGGCACCUCGAUGUCGGCUCAUCGCAUCCUGGGGCUGAAGUAGGUCCCAAGGGUUGGGCUGUUCGCCCAUUAAAGCGGUACGCGAGCUGGGUUCAGAACGUCGUGAGACAGUUCGGUCCCUAUCUGUCGCGGGCGUAGGAAAUUUGAGAGGGGCUGUCCUUAGUACGAGAGGACCGGGAUGGACGCACCGCUGGUGUACCAGUUGUUCCGCCAGGAGCAUCGCUGGGUAGCCAAGUGCGGGAGGGAUAAGCGCUGAAAGCAUCUAAGCGCGAAGCCCGCCUCAAGAUGAGAUUUCCCAAUUCGUAAGACCCCUGGAAGAACACCAGGUUGAUAGGCUCGGGGUGUAAGCACAGCAAUGUGUGUAGCUGACGAGUACUAAUCGGUCGAGGGCUUAUCCUA